rnacentral:tRNA from 1 species
GGACGCUUAGCUCAGUUGGUAGAGCAACUCGUUUACACCGAGUGGGUCGCAGGUUCAAGUCCUGCAGCGUCCA